GUAAAGUCUGCCAUGUUUUGUCCUACUUGUCGCGCUUGAUCAACGCGUUCGCGAUUUUGGUUCCAAAACCAAUAAUUUACUGAAUGUAACACGGGCUGUGCUUUGUUUACAAAUAGUGUAGUUGGUGACGGUAUAAUUGCUUUAGUGAAUUUUAAAUCUAUCGAUCAGUUUUGAUACUUGUGUGUUUAAUGGUGUAGUUCGUAUUUCGUAAAAUUUUGAAAUCGUUCACUGGUUCGCUUUACUUGAAAGCCAUGCAAGAUUAUUGUUAAUCUGUACAGAUAGUUGUUUUAUUUAACGUGGUGGAAUAAAUGACUUCUCUGUGACGCAACCCACGUGCACAAUACAGCAAGCAUCUCUCAUGCAUAUUUGUUAUUAUUUUGUUCGCGGCUAGAGAGUUCGAUUCGAGUCCGUCUGAUUCGGAUCGAAGAAGGCAUAUCGCGUCGUCCGUCUUGCUCGCUCUCGUCGCAUUCCGUAACAUUGCGUUCAAUUUAUUUUCAUAAAUUGAAAUAGAACGGUGGUAUUUCCUCGCGUGUGCAUUAUUGUUUUGGUGCGCAAAGAAUAGAGGAUAGCUGUGGUGGUGUCGGUGCGGCCGGAGCGCACGUGACGACGAAGUGUUUGGGUGUCAGUCUGGUAGGGUUGGCGGGCGCCGGGCGCACGCUACAUUCCGCCUGCACUCUGCAGUGCGGAGCGCUGUAGGCAACGGAGGUGAAUCACCGCGUGUCGUGUUGAUCGUGCUUAUUUACGCGAGUGCAUCGUUAAGUGCGUGAGCGGAAGUGCGAAGGCAUGUGCGGCGCGAGUUGGCGCCGAUGACACCGCCGUCAGAGGCGACGGGGUUUUUAAGCCAGUGAGCGAGUGUUAGCUAUGUUUCUUGGGUUAUGAGUGUGUGACAAAGUUUAGUGUACUGAGGACACUGGAGCCCCUAGACGGAGUUGGGCCCGCCGGGGCGGCCCUGGUGCUUCUCGGGGCUCCGCACGAAGGCAAAAUGGCAGCGUGGAACCGCCACCACCAUUUCAACAUGCUGAUGGACGAAAAUGCCAAAAACAAAUUGGGCGUUGUCGGCGGCGGCAUGCCGGAGGCCGCCGGCGGCGAGCGGCGACACGUGCCCCUAUACGGGCGGCUGGUUGCCGAGGACCAACUCGCCUCGAUGAGCGCACCGUCGGACAUUCAGGUGAGCGCCCCCGUGCGCAACCCAAGAGCUUUCCUGCGCUACCGUAUCCCCGCCCAGGCUAUGCAAGCACGGAUACCACAUCAUUUUCGGGACCCUUCAACAGCGCCGCUAAGGAAACUUAGUGUGGACCUUAUCAAGACAUACAAACACAUUAAUGAGGUAUACUACGCAAAGAAGAAGCGGAGAGCGCAGCAGUACCUCGGCGACGACGGCUCCCACAAGAAGGAGCGCAAGCUCUACAACGACGGCUACGACGACGACAACCACGACUACAUCAUCAAGCAGGGCGAGAAGUUCCUUGACCGGUACGAGAUCUCGUCGCCGAUCGGCAAGGGCUCCUUCGGACAGGUUGUAAAAGCUUACGACCACGAGGAGCAGUGUCAAGUAGCGAUAAAAAUUAUUAAAAAUAAGAAACCUUUCUUAAAUCAGGCACAAAUAGAAGUCAAGUUACUAGAAAUGAUGAACAGGGCAGACGCGGAGAACAAGUAUUAUAUAGUGAAACUGAAGCGGCACUUCAUGUGGCGCAACCACCUGUGCCUGGUGUUCGAGCUGCUGUCGUACAACCUGUACGAUCUGCUGCGCAACACGAACUUCCGCGGCGUCUCGCUGAACCUCACGCGCAAGUUCGCGCAGCAGCUGUGCACCGCGCUGCUGUUCCUCAGCCAACCCGAACUAAAUAUAAUUCACUGUGAUCUAAAACCGGAGAACAUUCUUCUGUGCAAUCCGAAGAGGUCGGCGAUCAAGAUUGUCGACUUUGGUAGCUCGUGUCAGCUGGGGCAACGGAUAUACCAAUACAUCCAGUCCCGCUUCUACCGCUCGCCGGAGGUGCUGCUGGGCAUACCGUACGACCUCGCGAUCGACAUGUGGUCGCUCGGUUGCAUACUCGUCGAGAUGCACACCGGCGAGCCGCUGUUCAGCGGCGCCAACGAGCUCGACCAGAUGAACAAGAUCGUUGAGGUGCUCGGCAUGCCGCCCGACCAUCUGUUGGAUCAGGCACACAAAACUAGAAAGUUCUUCGAUAAAUUACCGGCGUCGGAGGGCGGUGGUUAUGUACUGAAGAAAGUAGCGAGUAAAGAUGGCGGCUACAGAAAGUACCGGCCGGCGGGCACGCGGCGGCUGCACGACAUACUGGGCGUGGAGGGCGGCGGGCCGGCCGCGCGGCGCCGCGGCGAGCCCGGACACUCCGUAUCCGACUACCUCAAGUUCAAGGACCUGAUCCUGCGCAUGCUGGAGUACGACCCGAAGCAGCGCGUGACGCCGUACUACGCGCUGCAGCACAACUUCUUCAAGCGCACCGCCGACGAGUCCACCAACACGCAGCAGGCGCAGGCGCAGUCGCACCACCAGCACGAUGUUCCGUCGGACUCGCGAUGACUAGAGCGGUCCGGCGGCACGCCCGCGCGACACUAACGCCGCCUCUAACUUGUCACAGUGGGCGGCGCUCGGCUGUGGGGAGGCGCCGAGCGCAUGGAGGUGGAGAACGUGCGGCGCGACGAGGACAUGCUGCAGCCCGUCUGCCAGCUGCAGCACAGCCCCGUGGCCA
rnacentral:misc_RNA from 1 species